rnacentral:tRNA from 1 species
GCCCGUGUGAUGGAAUGGUAGACAUAACGGACUUAAAAUCCGUGGGGAGCAAUCCCUUGCCGGUUCAAGUCCGGCCACGGGUACCA